CAUAAUAUGGUAGCAGAUAUUUAAGAAACAUGUCAAGUGAACGUUGUUUAUCUGUAAAACAAGAGUUAUUCUGCCUAGAAAAUGAGUUAAGUGUCUUUUGUUUUUUGUUAUUUUAACCCGCCCACUGACAUUCAGUCGAUUACAUUUCAGCACCCCUGGUUGGCUUGUCGGAAAACCGCGUGUUUGACUUAGGAAGGCUCUUAAAGUAUGCGUCCGUGACCGAAAUGCUACCUCCGGUGGACAGUAACAGCCAACACGACAGUAACAGUGGACAACAACAAGACGCAGAUUCAGAGUUCCGGUGGUUCUGAGCAAAUAGUAUAAACGUAUAAACGGAGUACAAACGUAUAACGUAAACAUUAGGUGAGCAGGUUACAUUGUAGCCCCGUGUCCUAACAAUAGGCUACGUGAGGAGAUGCAGUUUUAAGCAAUUUGGCUGUGUGCACCAGGAACAUGGAAAAAAAAGUACAGCCAUUUAGAAGCACAGAAUAAUGUUACUGCACUGCACUCCAGCUAAAUGAGUGCUGGGAUCUGCAUUAAGGACCACAGUUUUGGCUCAACUUCUUCUUUGAUGUUCUUCUGAAUGGAAAUAGUUACUUAAAUCUUAGAUGACCUGAGGGGCAAGCAAGAAAGAAAUACAGGAUGGAACAACUUGAGGGUAAGUAAAUCAGAACAACAGACAGAAUUUGCAUUUCUAGGAGAUCUAACCCUUAAAAGCUUACAAAUGCAAAUUCUUUUUCUCUCUCUCUUGCAGUACAUUUUUAUAAGCAAUGAACUGGAAAAAAUAAUGACAAAAAUGUAAUGUAGUGAAAAACGAAUGCCUCCAUUUAUUUGUGAUUGUGCAACU